UCUUGUGAGAAUUGGUGGUGCUCCUCCCCAGCACAAUGCAUUUGAUGAUUCCACGCCACCAUUUGUCUCGUCAUAUGCUCACUGCCACUGUUCUUCCUCUGCUUCCAGAGCACAGGCGCCAGAAAAGUUUGAAGAGGCAUUCUGAACUUGACACCAUUUCCUCCAGGUAAUCCAAGCUUUCAGACAUGGUGAAGUUCCAGAAGCAGCUGGAGGGCCAGCUCGUCCCAGAGUGGUGGGUGAAGUACUGCGACUACAAGCAGCUCAAGAAAGUUGUCAAGAGAAUCAAAAACCAGAUCCUACAUACCAAGAACCAGCAGCACAAGGUGUUCGAUCCAAAUGUCUUCUCGGUUGACAAGAGCAAGCUUCAAAACUUGCUGCAAAAUCCCAGCGCCAUCCUGAGCAGCUGCUGCGAACAAUCCAUAUCCUCGGAAACGUCCAUGGAUGUUCUGGACUGUAAAGACAAAACAAAACACUUCAAUACGAUCAGGUUGUGCACAAGACGAGAAUUGGAGAUGGUGAGGAUUUUUACGAGACGGAGCUGUUUGGAACUCGAUCAGAUCACGAAAAGAGCUUCUUUUUCGGCCUUGACGAUCAGCUCAACAAAGUGGACAAGUUUUUUAGAUGCAAGGAAGACGAGUACGAUGCUCAAGCACGGCAACUUCACAUCCAAAUGGAAGAGCUCAUCGCUAUGCAAGAUGACGAAUCUCAGAGCUUGAAGGGGAGCCUGGCAACAAAGGAAAGGUUCAGCGAGCAGCCAAGAUGCUCCAGACGGCCUUUGUCGAAUUUUAUCGUGGGCUUCGACUCCUAAGAAACUUCAGCUCCUUGAACGUGAUGGCAUUCGUCAAGAUCCGCAAGAAAUAUGACAAGGUGACUGGAGUCUGGCAGUUACCUCAAGAUGGUCGAAAACUCUCACUUUGCAACGUCGGACAAGGUGUGAAUC